GGGCCCAUAGCUCAGCGGUAGAGCAUCUGACUUUUAAUCAGAGGGUCGUGGGUUCGAAUCCCGCUGGGCUCACCA
rnacentral:tRNA from 1 species